CUCUCUCUCAUUCUCUCUUUUUUUUUCCCUACCACCGUUCUCCCUACUUCACUCUCUCCACCCUUUCUCAUUCUCUCUUUCAUUCUCUUUUUUUUUCCUACCACCAUUCAAAGACGAUGCCUUGGUGCUGUUGUUCACCAAAUGCUGGACGGAAAUGAUGGAGAUGCCGAACGAAAAACUCAAAGAUCUGUAGCAUUGAGUAUCUUUGUGACCGACAACAACAACGAAAACAACAAAUAGUCUCUGGCAUUUGGAAGACAGGAGAAAGCUUCGUUUUCUUUGCUCACAAUGCUGAUGUGGACCGUGCUUAUGUUUGGCAAUGUCAAGAGCCUUCAUUCCUGCCCAGAAACAUCGGUGUCAACCUUCAUUUAUUAUUUUUACUAAUUAAUUAAUUAAUAUUAAUACUUUGCUCACAAUGCUGAUGUGGAUCGUGCUUAUGUUUGGCAAUGUCAAGAGCCUUCAUUCCCGCCCAGAAACAUCGGUGUCAACCUUCAUUUAUUAUUUUUACUAAUUAAUUAAUUAAUAUUAAUACUUUUUAUUAA